UAAACAAUAUUUCUUAUAAUAUUGAUUUUCCUGAAUCGUCUAGACAAUCUGUGUCUGACCCUUUGGAAUCUGUUUAUCAAGAAUCUAAAAAUCCCAGCAAUGAGUCUAUCAAAAAUGAAGACAUAGUUAGAGGAAUUCAUAUUUCUGAAAAUCAAAUACCUCAUGGUAUUUAUGAGGCUACUCCUCAAAACAGAAGACCUUACAGUCCAACUGCUAGUGACAUGAAUUUUGAGUGUUAAAUGGAUUUUUCUCCCAAUAGUAAAAUUCGCCAAUGUUUAAAUCAGGAGUUCAUGCAGG
rnacentral:lncRNA from 1 species